rnacentral:rRNA from 1 species
GACAGAGGAUGCAAGCGUUAUCCGGAAUGAUUGGGCGUAAAGCGUCUGUAGGUGGCUUUUUAAGUCCGCCGUCAAAUCCCAGGGCUCAACCCUGGACAGGCGGUGGAAACUACCAAGCUGGAGUACGGUAGGGCAGAGGGAAUUUCCGGUGGAGGCGGUGGAAAUGCGUAGAGGAUCGGGAAAGAACACCAACGGCGAAAGCAACUCUGCCUGGCCGACACUGACAUGGAGA